rnacentral:sRNA from 1 species
GCCAGGUGCAGUGGCGUACACCUGUAAUCCCCGAGGCUCAGGAGGCUGAGGCAGGAGGAUUGUAAGUUCAAAGCCAGCCACAGCAACUUAGCAAGGCCCUAAGCAACUCAGUGAGACCCUGUCUCUA